rnacentral:rRNA from 1 species
GUGGGGAAUCUUAGACAAUGGGCGCAAGCCUGAUCUAGCCAUGCCGCGUGAGUGAUGAAGGCCCUAGGGUUGUAAAGCUCUUUCAGCUGGGAAGAUAAUGACGGUACCAGCAGAAGAAGCCCCGGCUAACUUCGUGCCAGCAGCCGCGGUAAUACGGAGGGGGCUAGCGUUGUUCGGAAUUACUGGGCGUAAAGCGCGCGUAGGCGGACUGAAAAGUUGGGGGUGAAAUCCCGGGGCUCAACCUCGGAACUGCCUUCAAAACUCCCAGUCUUGAGGUCGAGAGAGGUGAGUGGAAUUCCGAGUGUAGAGGUGAAAUUCGUAGAUAUUCGGAGGAACACCAGUGGCGAAGGCGGCUCACUGGCUCGAUACUGACGCUGAGGUGCGAAAGCGUGGGGAGCAAACAGGAUUAGAAACCCGAGUAGUCC